rnacentral:rRNA from 1 species
AUCGCUGGUCCUUCGGGGCAUGUGCAUUCCUCUGGUCAUUUGUUUCUUUUGUUCCACCUGUGAACCGUUGUAGACACUUUACUGUGUCUAUGAUUUAUACACACAUAAUUGAUAUUGGUUAAUUUGUAUAACAAAAAUGAUAACUUUCAACAACGGAUCUCUUGGUUCUCGCAUCGAUGAAGAACACAGCGAAAUGUGAUAAGUAAUGUGAAUUGCAGAAUUCAGUGAAUCAUCGAAUCUUUGAAUGCAUCUUGCGCUCCUUGGUAUUCCGAGGAGCAUGCCUGUUUGAGUGUCAUAAAACUAUCAAAGCAUUUAUUUUUGUGGAAAGGGGCUUGGAACGGGGGAAUGGCCGAAUUUCCCUUCCACUCCUCCGAAAAAUAAUAACCUUUAAGGCAUCCGGGGGAAUAAUAAUCCACCCCUCCUUAAGGCCCCACCUGGUUC